AAUCAUUUUAGAUUGCCGCCUGGAGCGAAGAUUACUCAUACGUGUGAAAUUUAUUGGUCUCAGCGUUCCAUUACAUCAUCUCUACUUUAAUGCCGAAGCUGCUUGAAUCCCGCAAAAGUUACUAAACUCAGUUCGAUGUGUAAGAUGCUGCUCUUGAAUUGGGAGGGAGCCGAGGGUGAAAACAUCCGCGAAAUCCAAGCGCGAGGCCACUGUGAGGCGGACCGAACGGAUGAUUUACGGCGGGUUAUGCAACACGCAGAACAUUAGAGCCAGAGAUUCGAGAGCAAUUGGUCGUUGUUCGGAUGCGGGUGUAGUCACCGUCUCAGCCGGAGUCAUUGUGCGCCUACCUGCGUCCGCGGUGAAUAGUAAUGCAUUAUUCAACAGGAGCCGACUUCGAUCCCUCGCCGAACAUUGAAAAUCGUUCGCGCCUUUUUUCUAGGGGCCCCGACGCUACGCGACGCGACGCAGACAACACCAUUAUUCUUGCAUUUCUCUUUUUAUUACACUCGCAACUACUUGCACAAAGCUAUGAAUAAAUCAGUGUUUCUGGUGCA